AAGAGAGGUCCGGGACAAAGAGAACUGCUAAUUCUCCAAUUCAUGGUUCAAAUCCAUGGCUCACUUG
rnacentral:tRNA from 2 species